rnacentral:rRNA from 1 species
CAUUUAAAGAAAGCGUAAUAGCUCACUGGUCGAGUCGGCCUGCGCGGAAGAUGUAACGGGGCUAAACCAUGCACCGAAGCUGCGGCAGCGACGCUUAUGCGUUGUUGGGUAGGGGAGCGUUCUGUAAGCCGUUGAAGGUGGCCUGUGAGGGUUGCUGGAGGUAUCAGAAGUGCGAAUGCUGACAUAAGUAACGAUAAAGCGGGUGAAARGCCCGCUCGCCGGAAGACCAAGGGUUCCUGUCCAACGUUAAUCGGGGCAGGGUGAGUCGACCCCUAAGGCGAGGCCGAAAGGCGUAGUCGAUGGGAAACAGGUUAAUAUUCCUGUACUUGGUGUUACUGCGAAGGGGGGACGGAGAAGGCUAUGUUAGCCGGGCGACGGUUGUCCCGGUUUAAGCAUGUAGGCGGAGGUUCCAGGUAAAUCCGGUACCUUUUAACGCUGAGGUGUGAUGACGAGGCACUACGGUGCUGAAGUAACAAAUGCCCUGCUUCCAGGAAAAGCCUCUAAGCAUCAGGUAACAYSAAAUCGUACCCCAAACCGACACAGGUGGUCAGGUAGAGAAUACCAAGGCGCUUGAGAGAACUCGGGUGAAGGAACUAGGCAAAAUGGUGCCGUAACUUCGGGAGAAGGCACGCUGACAUGUAGGUGAAGCCCCUGCGGGUGGAGCUGAAAUCAGUCGAAGAUACCAGCUGGCUGCAACUGUUUAUUAAAAACACAGCACUGUGCAAACACGAAAGUGGACGUAUACGGUGUGACGCCUGCCCGGUGCCGGAAGGUUAAUUGAUGGGGUUAGCGGYAACGCGAAGCUCUUGAUCGAAGCCCCGGUAAACGGCG